rnacentral:pre_miRNA from 14 species
CAACGUCAAACGGAUCCGAAGACGUCCAUCUACCCGUAGCUCCUUGCCAUGUUACUGGUAAAAGUGAACAUGGAAGUUGGUCCGGGUACAUGGCCAGUAGGAGUUAUGAAGACGUGUUGA